AUGAAUUGCCGAGAUAAUGCGAAUCAGAAAGUUGGCAUCUGUUAUCUGCUAUCAGGAAGUUGCAACACAGAGCAAAAUCGUCACUUAAGUGUGUCUGCCUGUUUGGGCAAUGUACAAAGCACUUGUUCAAGACAUGCAUAUUCAACAUGGACUAUGAACUCCAGAAAUAUGCAAUCCUGCCAUAUUCAACAUGCAGUGAUGGUUUCAUAUCAUAUCAAUGGAGUGGCCCUAGCAACAUGGAGUAUCAAAAGUAAGCUAAGCAACACAACAGAUCCUAUCCAUGCCAAGGCCCAGUAUGACCAAUCAUCAAUCUUGCAUAUUGAACAGCUUAAACAACAGCUGAGACAGGCCUCUCUAUAUUCCAAACUCGGCUACUCUGCUUCUAACCUCCUCAAGGAAGGAUCUGAAACCUGUAGAACCAUCCAUCAGAGUGCCAUCCAGAGCCCGAUCCUCAAUCAGGUAUUUCUCAGAUGUUGUUGUAUCAUCACGUGCACCAUGAAUAAAAGCAAGCCUGGGAGUUAA
rnacentral:rRNA from 1 species